rnacentral:tRNA from 1 species
GGGGCUGUAGCUCAGUGGCAGAGCACUUGCCUAGCACGCAAGAAUCCUCAGGCUGCAUCCCCA